rnacentral:rRNA from 1 species
UCCGUAGGUGAACCUGCGGAAGGAUCAUUAUUGAAUAAAUCUGGCGUAGGUUGUAGCUGGCUCUCCGGAGCAUGUGCACACCUCGUCACCUUUAUCUUUCCACCUGUGCACACACUGUAGUCCUGGAUACCUCUCGCUGAAAGGCGGAUGCGGAGGCUGCUGUUGCCUUUAAAAUGGCUCAGCUUCCUCUGAAUUUCCAGGUCUAUGCCCCUUUAAAACACCCCAAACGAAUGUUACAGAAUGUAAUCAAUGGGCCUUUGUGCCUAUAAACCUAAUACAACUUUCAACAACGGAUCUCUUGGCUCUCGCAUCGAUGAAGAACGCAGCGAAAUGCGAUAAGUAAUGUGAAUUGCAGAAUUCAGUGAAUCAUCGAAUCUUUGAACGCACCUUGCGCUCCUUGGUAUUCCGAGGAGCAUGCCUGUUUGAGUGUCAUUAAAUUCUCAACCUCACCCAUUUUGUCAUGAAGUGUGUGUGUAGGCUUGGAUGUGGAGGCUUGCAGGUCCGGCUCUCUGAGUUGGUCUGCUCCUCUGAAAUGCAUUAGUGGGUUGUGCCCCUCAUCUAUUGGUGUGAUAAUUAUCUACGCCGUGGAUCAGUGUUGGCAACAAUGUGACCUGCUUCUAACCGUCCGACUCGGACAACUUGACAUUUUGACCUCAAAUCAGGUA